rnacentral:snRNA from 1 species
UGAGAAACUCACAAAAUUUCUCA